rnacentral:rRNA from 1 species
ACUCCUACGGGAGGCAGCAGUGGGGAAUUUUGGACAAUGGGGGCAACCCUGAUCCAGCCAUUCCGCGUGAGUGAAGAAGGCCUUCGGGUUGUAAAGCUCUUUCGGCCGGGAAGAAAUCGUGCGGGCCAAUACCCUGUAUGGAUGACGGUACCGGAAGAAGAAGCACCGGCUAACUACGUGCCAGCAGCCGCGGUAAUACGUAGGGUGCGAGCGUUAAUCGGAAUUACUGGGCGUAAAGGGUGCGCAGGCGGUUUUGUAAGACAGGUGUGAAAUCCCCGGGCUUAACCUGGGAACUGCGCUUGUGACUGCAAGACUUGAGUGCGGCAGAGGGGGGUGGAAUUCCACGUGUAGCAGUGAAAUGCGUAGAGAUGUGGAGGAACACCGAUGGCGAAGGCAGCCCCCUGAGUCGACACUGACGCUCAUGCACGAAAGCGUGGGGAGCAAACAGGAUUAGAUACCCUGGUAGUC